rnacentral:tRNA from 1 species
GAGGGCGUAGUGUAAUGGCUGCACGCCACACUGUCACUGUGGUAGUUGGGGUUCGAAUCCCCCGCUCUCG